AGCAGCCGCGGUAAUUCCAGCUCCAAUAGCGUAUAUUAAAGUUGUUGCAGUUAAAAAGCUCGUAGUUGAAUUUCGGGGUUAGUAGGUUGGUCAUGCCUCUGGUAUGUACUGGUCUCACUGAUUCCUCCUUCCUGAUGAAUCUUAAUGCCAUUAAUUUGGUGUUUUGGGGAAUUUGGACUGUUACUUUGAAAAAAAUUAGAGUGUUUAAAGCAAGCUAACGCUUGAAUACAUUAGCAUGGAAUAAUGAAAUAGGACGUUCGAUCCUAUUUUGUUGGUUUCUAGGAUUGACGUAAUGAUUAAUAGGGAUAGUUGGGGGCAUUAGUAUUCAAUUGUCAGAGGUGAAAUUCUUGGAUUUAUUGAAGACUAACCACUGCGAAAGCAUUUGCCAAGGAUGUUUUCAUUAAUCAAGAACGAAAGUUAGGGGAUCGAAGACGAUCAGAUACCGUCGUA
rnacentral:rRNA from 1 species